rnacentral:rRNA from 1 species
GACUUGACAUCUCGAGGACCCAGCCUAAUAGCUGGGGUGCCUUAGGGAACUCGAAGACAGGUGGUGCAUGGCUGUCGUCAGCUCGUGUCGUGAGAUGUUGGGUUAAGUCCCGCAACGAGCGCAACCCUCGUUCUUAGUUGCCAGCAUUAAGUUGGGCACUUUAGGAAGACUGCCGGUGACAAACCGGAGGAAGGUGGGGAUGACGUCAAGUCAGCAUGCCCCUUACGUUCUGGGCUACACACGUACUACAAUGGUUGGGACAAAGGGCAGCGAGCGAGCGAUCGUAAGCGAAUCUCAUCAAACCCAGCCUCAGUUCAGAUUGCAGGCUGCAACUCGCCUGCAUGAAGGAGGAAUCGCUAGUAAUCGCAGGUCAGCAUACUGCGGUGAAUUCGUUCCCGG